GACCCUGGCCCUCCUCAUUAGGCCAGUCACUCACUGAGGAUGGCGGUACAAAGACAGCUUGUAAACUGGAAAACGUUGGCUUGGGAGCAGAGGUGGCCGCCCAGACUGGAGGUCUCCAGCAGGCAAGGGCUGGGCCUCGCCAUCUGCCGCUCCUUGAGUGACUCCUGAGUCAGGGCUCUGCCUCCUCCAUCAGGGACGCAGGCUCCUGUUUGAACUCCGCAGGCCCAGAGGACCCUGCACCAGGGCUUCCUGCUGAACUCGCCCCGCUAAGCGCAUGCAGAUGGCCACUGCCUUCACGGCCCAGCUGGCUCACCUGGGCCCCUCUGCCCCGCCAGGAGAAUCCUCGCUGUACUCUCACUUCUGAGGCCAUAUUUUUAAGCCUUUGUGAAACCCCCUUAUUACCUGCUGGGUGCGGUGACUUUGAACUAACUUCGUACUAAAAUGUAAAUGACUUCACAAGAUUUUUUUUAAAAACAUGUUCCCAAUUGACUAAUAAAAAUCAUAUGUGGGCUGGGGAUGUGGCUCAAGCGGUAGCGCGCUCGCCUGGCAUGCGUGCGGCCCGGGUUCAAUCCUCAGCACCACAUACAAACAAAGAUGUUGUGUCCG
rnacentral:lncRNA from 1 species